rnacentral:rRNA from 1 species
AGUGAACGCUGGCGGUAGGCCUAACACAUGCAAGUCGAACGGCAGCACAGUAAGAGCUUGCUCUUACGGGUGGCGAGUGGCGGACGGGUGAGGAAUACAUCGGAAUCUACUUUUUCGUGGGGGAUAACGUAGGGAAACUUACGCUAAUACCGCAUACGACCUACGGGCGAAAGCAGGGGAUCUUCGGACCUUGCGCGAUUGAAUGAGCCGAUGUCGGAUUAGCUAGUUGGCGGGGUAAAGGCCCACCAAGGCGACGAUCCGUAGCUGGUCUGAGAGGAUGAUCAGCCACACUGGAACUGAGACACGGUCCAGACUCCUACGGGAGGCAGCAGUGGGGAAUAUUGGACAAUGGGCGCAAGCCUGAUCCAGCCAUACCGCGUGGGUGAAGAAGGCCUUCGGGUUGUAAAGCCCUUUUGUUGGGAAAGAAAAGCAGCAGGUUAAUACCCCGCUGUUCUGACGGUACUCAAAGAGUAAGCACCGGCUAACUUCGUG